rnacentral:rRNA from 1 species
UACGAAGGGGGCUAGCGUUGCUCGGAAUCACUGGGCGUAAAGGGUGCGUAGGCGGGUUUUUAAGUCAGGGGUGAAAUCCUGGAGCUCAACUCCAGAACUGCCUUUGAUACUGAAGAUCUUGAGUCCGGGAGAGGUGAGUGGAACUGCGAGUGUAGAGGUGAAAUUCGUAGAUAUUCGCAAGAACACCAGUGGCGAAGGCGGCUCACUGGCCCGGUACUGACGCUGAGGCGCGAAAGCUGGGGGAGCAAACGGG